AGCAGCCGCCGCGGGAAUACGUAGGUGGCAAGCGUUGUCCGGAAUUAUUGGGCGUAAAGGGCUCGCAGGCGGUUUCUUAAGUCUGAUGUGAAAGCCCCCGGCUCAACCGGGGAGGGUCAUUGGAAACUGGGAAACUUGAGUGCAGAAGAGGAGAGUGGAAUUCCACGUGUAGCGGUGAAAUGCGUAGAGAUGUGGAGGAACACCAGUGGCGAAGGCGACUCUCUGGUCCGUAACUGACGCUGAGGAGCGAAAGCGUGGGGAGCGAACAGGAUUAGAUACCCCUGUAGUCCCUGUCUCUUAUAC
rnacentral:rRNA from 1 species